AACUAACGCUGGCGGCGUGCCUAACACAUGCAAGUCGGACGAGAAAUCCUGGGCAACUGGGAGAGUAAAGUGGCGCACGGGUGAGUAACGCGUGGGUAACCUGCCCUUGAAUUGGGGAUAACUUCGCGAAAGCGGGGCUAAUACCGAAUAAUAUGUCGAGUCCCACGGGAAUUGACAUCAAAGGUGGUCUCUGCUUGCAAGCUACCGUUCAAGGAUGGGCCCGCGUACCAUUAGCUAGUUGGUAGGGUAAUGGCCUACCAAGGCAACGAUGGUUAGCUGGUCUGAGAGGAUGACCAGCCACACUGGAACUGAGACACGGUCCAGACUCCUACGGGAGGCAG
rnacentral:rRNA from 1 species